GACCUGUCUGGCAUUAACCUGGCUCACAUUUAUCUUCUGCCCAAGAAGGAAACCCCACUCAAGCUCAAGGACUUCAGGCCAAUCUCUAUUAUACACAGUGUGCCCAAACUUGCUAGCAAGAUACUAACCAGGAGGCUUCAAACUCAAAUCCCUGGCUUAAUUCACUCCCUACAAUCUGGCUUCAUCAAGGGUCGAGCCAUUGUAGAGAACUUUGCUCUGGCUGCAAACAUGAUCCAAACAGCACAUAAAAGGAAGUUGCCCGUGGUGGCCCUCAAGUUGGAUUUUCAAAAAGCUUUUGACUCUGUCAGUUGGUCUUGCCUUCUCAGCAUUUUGUCUACCCGAGGCUUCCCUCAGCGUUGGAUCAGUUAG
rnacentral:rRNA from 1 species